GUGUCAGCAGCCGCGGUAAUACGAAGGGGGCUAGCGUUGCUCGGAAUCACUGGGCGUAAAGGGUGCGUAGGCGGGUCUUUAAGUCAGGGGUGAAAUCCUGGAGCUCAACUCCAGGACUGCCUUUGAUACUGAGGAUCUUGAGUUCGGGAGAGGUGAGUGGAACUGCGAGUGUAGAGGUGAAAUUCGUAGAUAUUCGCAAGAACACCAGUGGGGAAGGCGGCUCACUGGCCCGAUACUGACGCUGAGGCACGAAAGCGUGGGGAGCAAACAGGAUUAGAAACCCGAGUAGUCC
rnacentral:rRNA from 1 species